GCAGCAGUGGGGAAUUUUGGACAAGGGGGCAACCCUGAUCCAGCAAUGCCGCGUGAGUGAAGAAGGCCUUCGGGUUGUAAAGCUCUUUUGUCAGGGAAGAAACAGCAGCUCUAACACAGUUUGCGAAUGACGGUACCUGAAGAAUAAGCACCGGCUAACUACGUGCCAGCAGCCGCGGUAAUACGUAGGGUGCGAGCGUUAAUCGGAAUUACUGGGCGUAAAGCGUGCGCAGGCGGUUAUACAAGACAGGCGUGAAAUCCCCGGGCUUAACCUGGGAAUGGCGUCUGUGACUGUAUAGCUAGAGUGUGUCAGAGGGGGGUGGAAUUCCACGUGUAGCAGUGAAAUGCGUAGAUAUGUGGAGGAACACCAAUGGCGAAGGCAGCCCCCUGGGAUAACACUGACGCUCAUGCACGAAAGCGUGGGGAGCAAACAGGAUUAGAUACCCUGGUAGUCCACGCCCUAAACGAUGCUGACUAGUUGUUGGGAAUUUACAUUCUCAGUAACGUAGCUAACGCGUGAAG
rnacentral:rRNA from 1 species